UGCAGCUACCUGUGUGAUUGAGUUCCUCUAUCAUGAGUCCCGACUGAAUUAGGAUUAAGGUGAACUCGUCAAACCCAAUAUCAGUCAUAUGAGUUAAUCGAUCGAUCCGAGUCCGAUGUGAAAUCUUAAUGAAAAACUCUUUUCCAUUAUUUUACUCUGCUAUGGCCAUGGGCUUAAGGACUCGAUCUUUCAAUUAUCA
rnacentral:lncRNA from 1 species